rnacentral:tRNA from 1 species
GACCGCGAGCCGAGCGGCGUCGCCGGGCUGCAAACCCGGUGCUGCGGGUGCGAGUCCCGCCGCGGUCUCCA